UAAAUAUGAAUACUGAACAGGACACGAGUAGCAGGAAAAGACGAGAUGGUGGCAAUGUGUGUGCUUACAAAGACUGCAAAAAUAGGUCUUAUUCUUCGACAAACAUAAUAUUUCACUCUUUUCCAAAGGAUCCUGAAAAAUCGAAGACAUGGUUAGAAGCUUGUAAUAUAUUUU